rnacentral:rRNA from 1 species
AUUGAACGCUGGCGGCAGGCCUAACACAUGCAAGUCGAGCGAGCGGCGGACGGGUGAGUAAUGUAUGGGGACUGCCCGACAGAGGGGGAUAACUACUGGAAACGGUAGCUAAUACCGCAUACUAUCGGAUAACCCAUAUGGGUUGAGCUAGUAGGUGAGGUAAUGGCUCACCUAGGAGACGAUCCCUAGCUGGUCUGAAAGGAUGAUCAGCCACACUGGGACUGAGACAAGGCCCAGACGUCUACGGAGGCAGCAGUGGGGAAUAUUGCACAAUGGGCGCAAGCCUGAUGAAGCGAUGCCGCGUGUAUGAAGAGGGCCAUAGGGUUGUAAAGUACUUUCAGGCGGGAGGCGUUACCGACAGAAGAAGCACCGGCUAACGCCGUGCCAGCAGCCGCGGUCAUAC